rnacentral:rRNA from 1 species
UAAUACAUGCAAGUCGAACGCUUUGUCUUUAAUUGAUAUGAAGAGCUUGCUCUGAUUUGAUUUUAUCUGACAAAGAGUGGCGAACGGGUGAGUAACACGUGGGUAACCUACCUCUUAGCAGGGGAUAACAUUUGGAAACAAGUGCUAAUACCGUAUAACACUAACAACCGCAUGGUUGUUAGUUGAAAGAUGGUUCUGCUAUCACUAAGAGAUGGACCCGCGGUGCAUUAGCUAGUUGGUAAGGUAAUGGCUUACCAAGGCGAUGAUGCGUAGCCGAGUUGAGAGACUGAUCGGCCACAAUGGGACUGAGACACGGCCCAUACUCCUACGGGAGGCAGCAGUAGGGAAUCUUCCACAAUGGGCGCAAGCCUGAUGGAGCAACGCCGCGUGUGUGAUGAAGGGUUUCGGCUCGUAAAACACUGUUAUAAGAGAAGAACGACAUUGAGAGUAACUGUUCAGUGUGUGACGGUAUCUUAUCAGAAAGGAACGGCUAAAUACGUGCCAGCAGCCGCGGUAAUACGUAUGUUCCAAGCGUUAUCCGGAUUUAUUGGGCGUAAAGCGAGCGCAGACGGUUAUUUAAGUCUGAAGUGAAAGCCCUCAGCUCAACUGAGGAAGGGCUUUGGAAACUGGAUAACUUGAGUGCAGUAGAGGAAAGUGGAACUCCAUGUGUAGCGGUGAAAUGCGUAGAUAUAUGGAAGAACACCGGUGGCGAAAGCGGCUUUCUGGACUGUAACUGACGUUGAGGCUCGAAAGUGUG